CUCACUCCAUCAUUUAUUGCUUUAAAUCUACCCCCAACAAUAUCCAAUUAAUUGCUUUACAUAAUUGCAGUUCAAAUUUUCAAAAUACAAAGUGAGACAAAAGGGAAUUAGUAUCUGUUUCAGAAAGCCAGCUGCAGACUGAUUUCGGCUUUGCUGACUUUGUUCUCUCAACAUCCCAUUAGCCCCUCCCUAGGAACAUACCAGUUGCCAUACCCAGCUACUGUCAGAGCAUGAUUGAAUCAUUGGGACACUGAAACAUUUAAUAUCCAUUACUUCUUUUUUUUCCUGAAAUGUAGCACUGAAAUAGUCUCAUUGCAUCAACCGUAUUUACCUGUACAACUUUCAUGUAUAUGAUGCAAGCUCCUACCACAUUUCAACUCAUGCAUACGUACAGCUGAGCUGAUAAAACC
rnacentral:lncRNA from 1 species